rnacentral:rRNA from 1 species
GAGUGAACGCUGGCGGUAGGCCUAACACAUGCAAGUCGAACGGCAGCACAGUAAGAGCUUGCUCUUACGGGUGGCGAGUGGCGGACGGGUGAGGAAUACAUCGGAAUCUACUUUUUCGUGGGGGAUAACGUAGGGAAACUUACGCUAAUACCGCAUACGACCUACGGGUGAAAGCAGGGGAUCUUCGGACCUUGCGCGAUUGAAUGAGCCGAUGUCGGAUUAGCUAGUUGGCGGGGUAAAGGCCCACCAAGGCGACGAUCCGUGGCUGGUCUGAGAGGAUGAUCAGCCACACUGGAACUGAGACACGGUCCAGACUCCUACGGGAGGCAGCAGUGGGGAAUAUUGGACAAUGGGCGCAAGCCUGAUCCAGCCAUACCGCGUGGGUGAAGAAGGCCUUCGGGUUGUAAAGCCCUUUUGUUGGGAAAGAAAAGCAGCAGGUUAAUACCCCGCUGUUCCGACGGUACCCAAAGAAUAAGCACCGGCUAACUUCGUG